AAAUAGAUACCCCGGUAGUCCACGCCGUAAACGAUGAGUGCUAAGUGUUAGGGGGUUUCCGCCCCUUAGUGCUGCAGCUAACGCAUUAAGCACUCCGCCUGAGGAGUACGGUCGCAAGACUGAAACUCAAAGGAAUUGACGGGGGCCCGCACAAGCGGUGGAGCAUGUGGUUUAAUUCGAAGCAACGCGAAGAACCUUACCAGGUCUUGACAUCCCGUUGACCACUGUAGAGAUAUAGUUUCCCCUUCGGGGGCAACGGUGACAGGUGGUGCAUGGUUGUCGUCAGCUCGUGUCGUGAGAUGUUGGGUUAAGUCCCGCAACGAGCGCAACCCUUGAUCUUAGUUGCCAUCAUUUAGUUGGGCACUCUAAGGUGACUGCCGGUGACAAACCGGAGGAAGGUGGGGAUGACGUCAAAUCAUCAUGCCCCUUAUGACCUGGGCUACACACGUGCUACAAUGGACGAUACAAACGGUUGCCAACUCGCGAGAGGGAGCUAAUCCGAUAAAGUCGUUCUCAGUUCGGAUUGUAGG
rnacentral:rRNA from 1 species